UCCCUGGUGGUCCAGUGGCUGAAACCCGGCACUCCCAAUGCAGAGGGCUCAGGUUCGAUCCCUGGCCAGGGAA
rnacentral:tRNA from 1 species